rnacentral:rRNA from 1 species
CAGUAGCCGCGGUAAUACGAAGGGUGCAAGCGUUAAUCGGAAUUACUGGGCGUAAAGCGUGCGUAGGCGGUGAGUUAAGUCUGCUGUGAAAUCCCCGGGCUCAACCUGGGAAUGGCAGUGGAUACUGGCUCGCUAGAGUGUGUCAGAGGAUGGUGGAAUUCCCGGUGUAGCGGUGAAAUGCGUAGAGAUCGGGAGGAACAUCAGUGGCGAAGGCGGCCAUCUGGGACAACACUGACGCUGAGGCACGAAAGCGUGGGGAGCAAACAGGAUUAGAUACCCGUGUAGUCACUGUCUCUUAUAC